rnacentral:rRNA from 1 species
AUUGAACGCUGGCGGCAUGCUUUACACAUGCAAGUCGAACGGUAACAGGGAGCUUGCUCCGCUGACGAGUGGCGAACGGGUGAGCAAUGCGUCGGAACGUGCCGAGUAGUGGGGGAUAACGCAGCGAAAGUUGUGCUAAUACCGCAUACGUACUGAGGUAGAAAGUGGGGGACCUUCGGGCCUCACGCUAUUCGAGCGGCCGACGUCUGAUUAGCUAGUAGGUGAGGUAAAGGCUCACCUAGGCGACGAUCAGUAGCGGGUCUGAGAGGAGGAUCCGCCACAGGGGGAAGGGAGCAGGGCCGAGACCCUAAGGGGAGCCAGCAGUGGGGAGUUUUGGAAAAUGGGCAAAACCUUGUUCCCGCCAUGCGGCGUGUCUGAAGAAGGCCUUCGGGUUAUAAAGGACUUUUGUGGGGGAGGAAAUCCCCAGCGUUAAUCCCGCUGGGGGAUGACGGUACCUGAAGAAUAAGCACCGGCAACCUACGUCCCAGCAGCCGCCGCGGUAA